UCUGGCUCCUUCACUUAGCAUGAUGCUUUCAAGAUUCACCUGUGUUACAGCAUGUGGCAGCAAUGCUUUCUUUU